GACGAACGCUGGCGGCGUGCUUAACACAUGCAAGUCGAACGAAGUGGCGACCGGGUGAGUAACGCGUAAUUAACCUGCCCUUCAGAGGGGGACAACAGUUGGAAACGACUGCUAAUACCGCCUACUGCCGGAGGGGAUUGCUUCUGAUUAGGUAGUUGGAGGGGUAACGGCCUACCAAGGCGAUGAUCAGUAGCCGGUCUGAGAGGAUGAACCGCCACAUUGGGACUGAUACACGGCCCAGACUCCUACGGGGGGCAGCAGUGGGGAAUCUUCCGCAAUGGACGAAAGUCUGACGGAGCAACGCCGGGUUAGUGAUGACGGCCUUCGGGUUGUAAAGCUCUGUUAAUCGGGACGCGGUACCGGAAUAGAAAGCCACGGCUAACUACGUGCCAGCCGCCGCGGUAAUAC
rnacentral:rRNA from 1 species